GGAAGGAUCUUCCCCUAAAGCCCUCAGAAGGACCAUGGCCCUGCUGACACCUUGACCUCAGACUUCUAGCCUCCAAGACUUCGAGAAAAUACAUUUCUGUUGUUCUAAGCCAUUUGGUUUGUUUUCAAAUGUUCUUGCAGCCCUAAGCAAUGAAUAUGAUACACAAUGGGGGAUUCCUUUGAAAUCGCAAAGGGGGUGGGUGAUGAUGGACAACUGUAGAAAUCCCAAGGUCCAGCUGGGAGAGUGUGUAAGGAGACAGUAUUCACCAUACAUCCCAAAGUGGCACUCUCAAACUAGAUGACUGCUCACCGAGUUUUCUUAUUGGUACAGAUCCUGGAUCUCUCAGGCAUGAGACUAGAGUGAAAGAGGAUAAAAUGUCUUCCUACCUUCUCUCUGGGUUGUUCCGUUUGAUGAACCCACGCAUGGGGUCACUAAAGAAGCCAGAGUGGAGGCUGCAGGGAAUAUGGAUUUAAAUGAAUUUUGGCUGUACCAUCAAGCAGUCUGAUCACUGAGGAAAUAUCAAAAGCUUCACCCGAGUGACUCAUCACCCAAAUUCAGCAGAGACUUGCCAAAGAAGCUGCUUAUUUCACAGAAGGACGGUGCUGGAUGAAAGAUGCUUCCUUGAAACUGAGAGACUGCAGCCUUAGACAGGUCUCUUUGAAGAGCACAAGAAUUACUUUCAGAUCAUCAGUGACUUAAUUGAACAAAUGGCAACGAUCUUGCCAAAAUCUGAGAAGAUGUCCUCUGACCUUCCUCACCAGGAGUGAAUAUAUGUCAAUUCGUAUAUCCAAGUCUAUGAAAAGGAACAUGAAAUGGGAUCAACUAAAUUAUACUGAAGACAUAUACAGAUACAUUAAGCUUUGGAAAACAUCUGGACUUUGGAAUACUGGUCCACACGUCUUUCAGAGAGUCUUUCACAGGCAUUUCUUGCUGCUGCCAUGGGAAGAAGGAUGUGUUUGCUUCCCCCUCUGCCACGAUUAAGUUUCCUGAGACCUCCUGAGUCAUGCUGAACUGUGAGUCAAUUAUACCUUUUUCUUUUAUAACAUAAUGGCCUAGAUUAUGGACAGAAUCUAAGUUUACUUCAAUGCUGGGUUAACCGUAUGACCGCGGUGGCUGGCAUGAAAUUAACCAACUCUAAAUAUUAGUAGGGCUUAGUCAAACUUUCAUUUAUUACUAAAAAUUUAUCACUGCUGUUUCCCAUGGGGAUAUGGUUGAGCAAAGUGUUUUGAGCGUCAUUCGUGCAUGCUUGAUACCUGCUCCUUUUGAUCUGGGUGAUCUAUUAGAAGGAGGAGGAGAAAAAUUAAACCUAAAAUAUCUUUGGUUGUAUGGUAGAGGUGGAAGGUAAUUUUGUCAGGGUCUGAUGAAACCCCUGAAGGGUUAUUAGAUCCUGAAACCUGAAAAUUAGGCUCUAAAAUGUAGCCCAAUUGGAGAAAUUUGUGAACUUGACCCUUUCUAGAAUUUUUGAAAAUCGGGUAAGUAGAGAUACUUGAGUUUCUGGACUCAAGAUUAUAUAUGGUGUCUUCUCUAUUUUUUCUCACAUUUUAUAAUGAGACAUUGAUAAUUAACACACUUACCAGUUCCUUUUAGCACAGACCUUGUUUAAUAGAGUAUAGACAAAACUCUCAACAUUUGAGAACUGCUAGAAAAGGAGAGGAAACCACUUGCUUUCUGAGAACACACUGGAUAACUUCAGUACAAGGCAGAAUAAGGGUAUUUAGCUCAGAGGGAGGAGAAAGAGAGCGGCCUCGGAUAUUGCUUAUUUUAGUUUUCCUUAAGGCUGCCCACACAAAGUUUUCAGUCAGUGACUCAUCAAAUUUCAUUCUGCUAGAUGUGAUGCUAAAUUUUUUCUAUCUUAAGAUGUUCAACAAGAAUUUUCUGCUAGUAAAUGUAUUUCCGGUGAGCAGAGGUUAUUAAGAAUACUUGUACCAUGGACCCCUUUGGCACCUGGUAAAACCUGUAGACCCUCUUUCUAAAUUAAGUUACUGAGGGCACAAAACACCUAAGAUUAAAGAAAAGCUAUAUUUAAAAACAUUUCACAAAAUAUAGUAAAACAAACUUGUGACAUGGUAAUAUAUACACUUCUUCAACACAUUUGGUAAUUGAAUCUAUGAUUACCUAAUUAUUAGUAUAAUUUUGAUAUAGUGGUGGACAUAAAUAAUAUAUUGAACUAUUUGCACAACUUUAAUGUAUUAGUAAUAUGAAAAUUCUGAUUUCUCCUGAUGAGAACCACAGAUUUUAACAGUACUAUGGUCUGUUGCCUACAUUCAUAGCUUAAGGAAAGGCUAAACCACUUACAGGUUAGUGGGAAAAGGGGAUCUAAUUGUAUUCACUCAAAUUCCUGGACCUCCUGAAUUCCAUAGAUGGUCUCCUGGGUGGCUUGAGCUUCCCAUGUUAAAAAUUCUUGCUAUAUAGAUUAAGGUGAAUAAGAUACAACCAGAUUUCUUUUUUACAUGUCAAAUAAUAGUUUUGAUAUAUUUCUUAUGACAUAAUCUAUACAAACUGAAAAAAACUAUCUUUGAGAUGAUAUUUGUGUAUGGAAAUUAGGCCCGGAUUUUAUUCUUGUUUUCUUUUCAUGUUUUUUUCUUUAUGAAACUAAGUGUUCUGUUGGCAUGUUCACCACCAUUAAAUGCAUUUUAAUAAAGUCCGUGUAGUAUUGUGUGCUUUGACAUUGCUGGAAAAGGGUGUCUGUUUAUGAAAAUAAUGUUAGACUAUAAAGUUAAAUAAAGGGAGAUGAGGUAUCAGAAAUAACACAAUUCCAUGGUAACUGUUUUUAAACAGUAGAUUGAUCAAUAGCAUUUUGUGGUAAGAUGUUGUUAAUCUGUCUCAGUCAGGACCCAAAUGGCAAGCCAUUUCAAAUUGAUCACAGAACAAAAAUUGGCAUUACGUUCCCUUGGCUUCGUUGUGAGUGUGCUCUACAGCUCAAUUCACGACCAAUGAAAAUACUGAUGCUAAUGACAACUAUAAGAAUACUGUGCAAAAUAUCACAGAGAAAGAAAGCAAAGGUUGAGAGUGGAGAUUAUAAUUGUUUCUAGUCCUGUGUUUAAAACUCUUGGAACUUGCGUUUUCACAGUGAAAGAAAACAAUUUUUAAUAGCAAGCUAGGUGUAUCAUCCACAACAUCCCAGUUGUGUUUAGUUUGUAUUUUCUGAAAAGUUGCAUUUCUGAGAAACACGAGAGAAAACCAAUGGAAGUUAUAAUUCCAUACCAAAAGUUCUGACUCAAAUGUUGACAAAGAUCACGUAGGAAAUAUAGAGACUUACAGUAGGCCAGGUAUAAAAUAGAACAAAGUUUGGAGAUGACCAGAGUCACAAGGAUUGGAAUGUAAGUGAAAAUAAUAGCUGUGCAGCCAGUAAGAAUUUUGUAGUCUGCCUGUUAGAAAGACUGUUAUGCCUGGACUUGUGACCUUCCUGAUCUUACGUGGAUACAAACCAUUGUCCUUGUUUCUUUGCUUUCUCAGCUAAUAGAUUUUUAGAAAAGGGUUUCUGGAGCCAAACACACUGUCCAUGGUUUGACAGAGUGAAUGGAGACAGGGAAACAUAUACUUUCUCAAAAGAGCAAGAUUGCUUUUCCAUCCUCAUUCUUCUGGUCUGUCCACUGUACUGCAGCAAUAUUAACCAACUUGAUCUUUCCUUUUGUCACAUUCUUACCACCAUAUUUGCACCUUAAUUUAUUAUUUAGCAGCAGGCUUUCAUGUAAUUAUUUAAUUUUUGGUUUCCUACCACAGAUUGUGUAUGAUUUAUCCAGUGUUUGUAGUAAUACUACAAAAUAAACAAACAAAAUGACAAUUUAUUCAGCCUUGAGUCUGUAGGGUUUUGCUGAUUGGAACUAGGAUUGACUGACAUGGCUAUGCUUAAGUGGUCUCAGCUGGGCUCGCAUAUGCCUCUGCAGCCAACAAGAAUUAGCUUGGAGGUGCUGCUCAUCUUGGCGAGCUCACUCACAUGUUUGGUUGAGGAUCAGCUACUGGUUGCCUUACCUAAGAUGUCCUCAUCUGGGCUGACUUGAGUAGUUUGGUUCAUUCCUCAUAUCCCUUUCUUCAACGGGUAAGCCUGAGUAUAUUCUUCCCAUUGUGUAGAUGCUCCUUGACUUAUGAUGAGGUUACAUUCCAAUAAACCUAUUGUAAAUGAAAAAUAUUUUAAGUCAAAAAUGCAUUAGAUACCUUGCUAAAGCCAUCAUAAAGUUUAAAAAUUGUUAAGUUGAACCAUUGUAACUCAGGGACCAUCCAUUACUAGCAGAGGGCAAGAGACAUGUCCAAGCACGUUUUCAAUCUUAUUCAUGAGUCACAUUGCUAGUAUUUCAUUGACUAAAAUUAGUCACAAAACCAGCCAGGUUCAUGAGUAAGAGUAUAAAGGCAAAUCAAAAUCACAAAGAGAUAUCACUUUAUAUCCAUUAAGCUGGAAAAAUAAAACAAAAUGAAAUGAAACCUGAAAUUAACAUGUGUUAGAAAGGAUAUAGAGAAUUUGGAACACUUCUGCAUUGUUGGUGAGAAUAUGAAAUGAUGGAACUGUUAUAGAAAAUGGUAUGGUGAUUGUUCAAAAAUUUUAACAUAGAAUUACAAUGUGAUCCAGAGAUUCUCUCUCUAAGUACAUACUCAAAGAAUUAAAAGAAUUUAAUUUUCAAAUAAUCGAAAACUUGGGUUCAAACAGAUAUUUUCACACCCUUGUUCAGUAGCAGCAUUAUUCACAAAAGCCAGAAGUAGAAGUGUCCCAGGUGUCCAUCAACAGAUGAAAGGAUAAACAAAAUGUGGUACCCAUGUACAAUGAACUAUUAUCCAGUCUUAAGGGAAUUUUGAUGCAUGCUAGAGCAUGGUUGAAACUUGAAAACAUUACGUUGUGAAUUAUGCCAGUCACAAAAGGACAAAUAUUGUAUGAUUCCACUUCUACUAGGUUCCUAGAGUAGUCAAAUUCAUAGCAAGAGGAGUGGUGGUUGCCAGGAACUCGAGUUGCUCCAGGGACGGGAAUUGGUAAUUAAUAUUUAAUAGAUACAGGGUUUCAGUUGGGGAAGACAAAAGAAUUCUGAAGAUGGAUGGUAGUAAUAAUUGCAUAAUGUGAAUGUACUUCGUGCCACAGAAUUGUACACUCAAAAAUGGCUAAAAUAAUGAAUUUUAUGUUAUGUAUAUUUUGCUACAAGAAAAAGGUACACAAAAAGAGCAAGGGUAUACAUUGAACCUCAUCAGUAAUUAUUAGUGAAAGCCAUGUAGCAAAAUGGGUGCACAGAAAGGCGAAGAAUUAGAGACAUUCAGGCAGUAUCUACCACAAUGGGAAUCUUUAAAGGUGGUAGCACUUUUAGCAAAGCACUAGAAUCAUUACAGUAUUAAAUUUUAUUCCAAGUGGCCUGAUAUUUAUAACAGAUUUGAAAAAUUAUAGAGGGGUAUUAUACCAGUCUUAGCAUUGAACUGUAAAUGCAAUAGGGGUUUAAGUUUUGAUCUAGAAUUCAAGAAUACAGGUGACAGAACACCCAACCCUCUUAGCACACAAAAUACUAGUUGCAGUGACACAUUUGAGUUGUAGGGAAUAAUUCAAAGCCUGUUUAGGUUUUCUUAUGAUGCAUAUCACAUGAUGCAUAUGAUAACUAAAUAAUUAAAAUCAUUUGUAUCAAAUGGAUAUCAUUAAGAUAUCUGGGGCUAGGCACAGUGGCUCACUUCUGUAAUUCCAGCACUUUGGGAGGCUGAGGCGGGAGUAUUACUUGAGGCCAGAAGUUCAACACCAGCUUGAGCAACAUAGUGAGACCCCCAUCUCUAUAAAAAUUUUCUUAAAAAAUUUGCCACGUGCAGUGGUACACAUCUCUAGUCCCAGCCAGUUGGGAGGCUGAGACAGGAGGAUUUUUCGAGCCCAGGAGUUUGAAGCUGUAGUGAACUAUGAUUGUACCACUGCGCUCCAGAUGCGGUGACAGAGCGUGAUACACUGUUUCUUUUUUUAAAAAUGAAAAAAAAGAUGUCUGGGAAAAUAAGGUACUGAACACCUUAUUUAAUAAAUUCACUUACUUUUCAGCAGUUCUAUAAAGUUAUAUAAAUCUGGAGUUGCUGCAUUAUUUGUUAUAUCAUUGUGAUUUCAGCUUAGAGUAUUUAAAUGUUAAUUAAAAUUCUGGGCUGUUUUUCAUAAUUUCCUUCUUAAUCUAGGCUAUUAUCAAUUUCCUGAGUAGUGAAAAUGCUUGUGGUUCUCAUAGCCAAGGCAUCUGCCUAGUAUUUGCACAAGAGCAUCAUUAGAUAUUUAUAAUUUAUUAAAAUGCCCAUGUAUGUUCCUUUUGAAUAAUUGGCUAAUAACUCUAUUCCUAAGGGAAAUUUGUGUGAGUUCUAAUUUAAUUCAUAGAAAACCUAACAACAUUUAGUAUAUUUUUAAAGCUAUCGCAGCACAAAUAGUACUGAUAUUUGUUUUAGUAUUAGUUAUCCUUUCUGGUGUUUGUUUUUAUGAUUAAUUUUCAAGGGAUAAAAAUCAUGAGAGUAAAGUAAGAUGGAAAUCAUUCUUAAUAUGAGCUAUUGAGUUGAAUAUUCAAAUAUAUUGAAUUGUUUUUAAAUUCAUUAUUUUAUUAUUGUAGCUUUUGAGGCAGAUUAAAUGAAUAUUAUGCCUAUGUCAUAGAUGACAAAAGGAAAUCUAAAGAUUAAGUGACUUUAAGGUCACCAAAUUGGUUACUGUUAGGGGAAGAAUAAGAUACCAGAACCACCUAGAGCUGUGAUGUGUGAUACAGCAGCCACUAGUCAUGAAGGUAUUGAGCAUUUAAAAUGUGAAUACUCUGAAAUGAGAUACACUGUGAGAGUCAAAAAAACCACUGGAUCCCAAACAUAAUACUAGAAAAGAAAUGGAAAAUAUCUCAAUAAUUAUAUAUCGAUUGAAUGUUGAAAUAAGAUUUUCGAUUCAUGGGGUUAAAUAAAAUAUUAAAUUAAUUUCACUUUUUAGGUUUCUUAUGUGACCACUAGAAAACUUAAAAUUUUACACCUGACUCUCAUUAUAUUUCUGAUGCACAAUACUAUCCUAGAAUGUUUUUUCUACUGCUUUAGGCUAAAUGUCUAAGCCUGGGGUCUGAAUUAUGUGUGUAAGUUCCUAUGGUGUGAUUCAUACAUAGUUUAUAAAUUUCUAGAUGUUUAGUAGUACUUAGACAUUUUAAAAAAUCUUACCUAAAAAGAAUCUUACCUAAAAAGAACAAAGAGUUGUUUGUUGACUUUUUCCUCAUAUACCUUGCCCAAAGCCAUGGAGAAAAAUAAAGUUUAUUUAAGACUUUCCAUAUAAAAUGUGAGAGCCACACAUAAAAUUUUAAGUUUUCUAGUAGGCACAUUAGAAGAGGAAAAAAUAGUGAAAUUAAUUUAGUCAUGUAUUUUAUUCAAUUCAAUGUACCGAAAGCAACCAAGCUAGUGAUAUUUUAAACAAAUCUGUUUAUAUCUCUCUCUCUACUUCUUAUAACCUACCCUUGCCUUUCUGUUGUUAAGGCAAUUAAAAUUCUUACCAUGGUAAAAUUCUUAUGAUCUAUCCAGCCUUACCGUAAUGCUCACUUUUUCUCAAUCUUUCUCUCCACUCCCUUCCUACUACCAGGGCUAUUAUACUAUCUUUCAUAGCUUUCAACACUCCAGCAUCCUCUCACUCACCCCAGGGCUCUGUGCACACUGCUUCCUCCUUGUGGAACACUGUUAUCUUUUUGCCUAGUUAACUCCUGUUAAUUCUCCAGAUUUCAGCAUGGGAUUAUCAUUUCCUUAUGGACCAUUUCUUUGAUUCUCAAAUGUAGGUCAGUUAUUUUUUAUAAUAUGCACUCACAGUAGCACUAAAUUUAUCUAAUUUACUUUGGGUAAAUUAUUCAUCCUUAACUGAAAAGUUCACUAACAUGAUUAUUUGAUUAAUAUCUGUAUGCCCUAGUAGACUCUACAAGUCAUGACACUGGUCUUCCUGUCUUUUGUUUUUCAGUGCUAUAUUCCCAGUACACACUAACUGAUAUAUAGUAGGCACUCAAUAAAUAUUAGUUUAAUGAUAUGUAAGUGAAUAAACUCAUAGAUGGACAUUCUUUGAGGUAUGUAUAAUGCUGUAUUUAAAGUAAGAUUCAAGAUGUUUAAAUAAGGUCCUCUGACAUUUUUUAUAGCUAUUUUAUCUUUCCUAUUUGUUUUGCAAAGUAAUUCAGUUUUCAAAUAAAAAUCAGAUUCACUAUUAUAGUAUAUCUUUGAAUACUUGAGCAUUGUCAAUUGUAUUGCUCAACAUAUACCGGCAUUAUGUACUUGGUUCACACAAAAACCCUAAGAGAGAAAAAAUAGGUAUUUCUACUUUUGGGGCAAAAAGUUAAGUUGAAAAGUGAAGUGGCUUUGCUUCAACUUAAAGGGACAAUAAUAAAUCCAAAACAGAUUUGGAAGUGGUGUUUUUUGUGUACGUGUGUGUGCACGUGUGUGUGUGUGUGUGUGUGUGAGAGAGAGACAGAGAGAGAGAGAGAGACAGGGACAAAGUCCAAGGCUAGAUUUUCAAAUACUGAUGAAAAAUGAGAACUGAUAUUAAAAUGAUGACUUAAUGGCCCAGAGAGAGAUGCCUUAUUUAAGGAAUACUAAAUUAUGUCUGGUAAGUAAUUCUGAAGAAUGUAGACCAUUACUUUCUUUUUUUGUUUUUUUGGCAGAGUCUCACUCUGUCUUUUA